UGGGAAUAUUGGACAAUGGGCGAAAGCCUGAUCCAGCCAUGCCGCGUGUGUGAAGAAGGUCUUCGGAUUUGUAAAAGCACUUUAAAGUUGGGAGGAAGGGCAGUAAAGCUAAUACCUUGCUGUUUUUGACGUUACCGACAGAAUAAGCACCGGCUAACUUCGUGCCAGCAGCCGCGGUAAUACGAAGGGUGCAAGCGUUAAUCGGAAUUACUGGGCGUAAAGCGCGCGUAGGUGGUUUGAUAAGUUGGAUGUGAAAGCCCCGGGCUCAACCUGGGAAUUGCAUCCAAAAACUGUCUGGCUAGAGUAUGGCAGAGGGUGGUGGAAUUUCCUGUGUAGCGGUGAAAUGCGUAGAUAUAGGAAGGAACACCAGUGGCGAAGGCGACCACCU
rnacentral:rRNA from 1 species